GGCGGGGCCGCGCUGCUCGCGUCUGCGCACGGCCCGCUCCGAGCCCGGCAGCGCGGGGCGCCCGGCGCAGCCACAGCCUGCCCGGCCUCCCGCUCCCGCUCCCCGCCUUCCCCUCCUCCAGCGCGGGCUGCGGCGCCUGCACCCCGCCCGGCCCCGGCCCCGGCCCCGCCGCAGCAGCAGCAGCAGCAGGGGGAGCGGCUGGGCCGGGCGGGGAGCGGAGCGGAGCGGAGCAGGGUCCCGGCUCGGGGCGGGGCGGGGCGGGGCGGAGCGGGGGCGAGGUGCCCGGCGCGGGCAGGCGGGCCCUCCUGGGGGCUCGGGCCGGGCUGUGCGCGGGGCGACGUCUCGGGGCUUUGUCCCCUCCGCCCCGCUCUGGGCACACGGCCGGAGCCGACAGCACUGGGGCUCCGCCACGGCCUGGGGCUCUUCGCGCUUCCUCUCGGUUCCUGGCACUCCCCGCGCGGAGCCGCCCGUGCCAAGCGGCACCUGCAUGGCGAAGGGCAGCUUCAAGACAGAAAGCCUGCCAUGGCGCUGAGGCCGCGGCGGGCGCAGCCGUGCCAGCCCAGUGCUCGGCCGCGCUGGGGCAGAGGAGGAAGCGGAGCCCCGCACCCAGCUCCGUGGGGCAGGACGAGGGAAGGGGCCGGGGCAGCCCUGGCUCUGCGGCCGGUGUGAAGCGCGGUUGUGUUUGCUGUGCCCAGGCUGCGGUGCACACUGAGCAGGUUCGUGUGUGCCCCUGCUCCUGGGCUUUGCCGGUGCCCCGCGGCGCCAGGAAGAGAUGUUUUCCCCUCCUGUCGCUACAGGUGUCCGGGUUUCCUCACCUUCCCCGCGAGCACUGGGUGGGGCUGCCCCCAAGGCGAGGUUGGUGCCGGGGGUGCCAGUGCUGCAGCGAGGGCUAAAGCCUCGGCCUUCCUGGGGAGAGGUCUGCCCUCCAUUCAGGGUCAGACUCAUCCUGCAUUUGGGCUCAGAAGAGCUUUUACAACGUGGCCAGACGGGGAUGGACUGAGGGCAUUUUGCUGCCGUCUCGAGGGAAGGGCAGAGCUCUCUUCCUUGGAUCUCUUGAGGGUACGUGAGCAACCCUUGCACCAGCCAGGCAUUGGCAGCACCCUCGCCCCCCUGUUCUACCUGUGGCAGGUGAGGGCAUUUUUCAUGUUUAGGGGCAAUAUGCCUUGCAGUGGUGUGACAGGGUUGUUGUGUGGCUUAGGCAUAGACUGAAGUAGCACUUGUGUAGGGUGCUUGGAUCCGGCUCUGAGCAGGGUUGGACUCAGCGGUGGAUCCAGCAGGAGGGCGAUGAGGGACGCAGCCACAGCCCUCCCUGGCUCUGCCACCUGUGCCCACCGACCAGCUUGAGCUCCCCAGUUGAUCAGUGCAACUCCCAGCCAGAGCAGCUGCUUUCAUGCUGCUGCUCGCCCUGUUGCCUCCUCUGGUGCUGAAUCCAGGGGCUGGCGGGGAGGGGGUGGAGGGCAAGGGCGGACAGCAGCAGUGCCCGUACCCCGAGCGCCGGAGCGCUGUGACAGCGGCGGCUCCUGCCAGAGCUGCAGCCAUCAGCCGGGAGCGCAGAGGGUCCCUGCACACGCACAGCUCGGGCAGGAGCCGGCACGGACGAGGUGGGGAGCUCAGAUCCAUGGGGUGCGACCGCACGGCUGCCCCUGCUACCACCCCCACCCCAAUCUGCCCUUGGCUAAACUGCACCACCUCCUGCGGCCCCUUCCAACCUUACCUUGCUCUGAUACCACGCUGUAGUGACAGGAGGCUUGCUCUACCUUCAGGCAGUGCUAGUUGAAUUGGCGGGGUGAGGGAGAGCCCCUGCUCCCCCUGCGGUGGCCCUCCUCUGCCAUUGCCAUUUCCUUAAAAUCUCCUUUCCAGCUAAAAAAAGCAUUUGUUUGACCUACCCAGAAAUGGUUGUGAGCAGUAGGUAAGCAGAGCUUGUUGCACCAAAACCAUCUGAGCCAUUGGGCACCCUGGCCUGUGCCUGCCCACUAAACACGGCUGUCUCCGCAGCUAACAAUGGAGUAGAGACAUGCUGCCCCGCCUGCCUGAUACGUCCGUCCACACCGACCCAGCACCUGCAGGACGUGUCUGCCCUCACCCGGGUCUGCACGGCAGAGCUCGUGAAGAAAUGGGUUUCCUACAGCACAAAACCGCCAUGAUUUCCUGCUCCGCGCUCAGGGUGACGGUUUAAAAUUUUAAACACUUUUGUGAAGGCAAACAUCAGUUGGCAAAGAGGAAAUAAUGAAUAUUUGCAACAAUUCAUUUUGAUUUUGGCCAUUUUCAGUUUGUUUUUAGAUGAUAAGGCACCGCAUUUCUACAUGAACAGCUAGUCUGAACAACCGCCACCAAAACCAGUUAGAAACAUUUCAUCCUCGUGCUGUUGAAAAGGGACGUUUCAGCUUUUUACAGUCACUUUCUUUCUUAAAAAACAAAACUAAAACACAACGAACAACACCACAUUCCUGCAAAAGAAAAAUAAUGAAACGAAGAAAAACCACAACUCUGGAUUUCUACCUGAAAUCUCUGGGCCCGUCUCGGACUCAGGGUUGUAAAGCCAGCAGUGCUAACGUGUGGGACCCCUGGACCCUGAAAGGAGCGCAAGGCACCCCGGGGUGCUGGGAAACCCUGAGAAUCGCUGGUCUAGGGACAAGCAGAUGACGGAAUGACACAAGAGCAUUUUUUGAGUAUAAGUAAAGCUGCCGUGAAGAAAGUGGAGAAAAAACCGUUCCCCUUCCCCACACAAGGCAGGACACGCGGCAGCGGCUUCACGCUGCAGCCAAGGAGAUCUCGAGUCAUUCUCCGAAGAAACCCUUCCCGAGUGCUAGAGCAGCAGUGCAACACGCUGCCUAGGGAAGUCGUGGCACCUCCUUCGCUGCAGGUUGUCAAGGAAGAGUCUGGAGCAGGAUCUCGCUGGGACAGCUGAGGAAGAGCAGAUCUUGCAUCUGCGCAGGGGGCAGACUGGAUGACCCUGGAGGUCCCUUGGGAGCCUGCGCUUCCCUGGUGUCAACACCUGUCACCGGAGCAGGGGAGCGUCUGCCAGCUCUGUGUGCUGCACCCACGGGCGGCGGAGGGCCAGGACUAAGGGGGCUUAGCCCCCGCAAGCCUUUGGCAGCGGCCAGCGACAGCAGCGCCACAGCGCCGGCCGCCCGCAGCACCUGGUGCCGCUCCUCCGCCGCCACGUGCAGCAACAGUGCACACUGGCCGUGCAAUGGCACUACUGGAGGGAGCGAGGGUGGGCAAGUGGGGCUCGGCCUCCCCAAAUAAUAGUUUCCGCCACCCUUAAGUCUGGGCCCACCUUCCCUGGUGAGACGCUUUGCUCGGAUACCUGGUCCCCACUCUCCGGCCACGCUGAAGGAAAGGCGGUGCAGCAGGGACAGAGAAUCGGAUUCAGUCUGAGUUCCCCUGGGAUUCCCUCAAAUAAAGAGAAGUGAUCUGA